AGCUUACCGACCGGAUAUUUACAAUGUAUGAUCAGUGAAUUUGUGUUUGCUAUUGUUAACAAAUGGCUAUGUACUCGAAAUUAUGUCUCAAUAUGCGGCCGUUUGUAUAAUUCUUCAGGGCAAAAUUUACCAUUUGUUACGAGAGAAUGAUUUAAAGAAUUGAAUUUCAUUUCUGGUGAAAUGUACAGUCAGUGACAGCUUUUGUAAUAUCCAGCCAUGAACUACAUUACCCCAGAUGAAGCACACGGGCAAGAGCAGCUGAUCAUUCAACGCUCAGUGAACAAUGAAAUGACAGUCACAAGGGUUGAUGGACUAAGAUAUUCAACUAUCAAGUUCAAGCCGACGGACAGACACCACGUGGACAUUGAGAUCACUCAAGGCACACAUCAUGACUGUACCGUCGAUAUGCUGGUCACACCCUCACCCUAUAAGAAGAAAACAGUCAAAGGGCGAGUAUACUCCAACCUUGCCAAGAUGCUUGCAGUGCUGGUCCUGUUCUUACUGUUAUUAAUGAUGUGUGUUGUGAUUGCUAGUCUAGUACUUAGAGUUCCCCACUCGCAUGAUACGCCGAGACUACAAGGCGUCGCAAAAAGCAAUGACUUUGACCCCGUCGGUGUGCAUCAUGAUAAUAACGAAACCACACAGGGAAACUUCACUUCUGACUUCAAUCAUACUUCUGUCAUAAUUCCUACAAUAAAUAUCACAUCAAACUAGUUUUUUUGGAUUCAGGUAAAUACUAUUGUUUAUCAGAACAUUGCCUGGAAUGCCAAUUUAGUGAAACUUCCGUCAACUAGACAUGAAUGUAUGCAUCAAUGCAUGAAUGAUUGAUCAGGACUUUGAGAAAAACGGAUUGUUUCAGGCAGUUUCAAAUCCCGUGGCAGUCUCAGUGAAUAGUUGAAUAUUGCACAACACGAUAAAUAAUCAGAAUUACAAUGCUGAAUGAUAUGAACAGCAACUAAAAAACGAUUACAAGUGUCAUUAUAUUUAUUGAUUUAUAUAACUUCUUUUUUAUGUAUAGCAGCAGUCUUUACACUGGCCUGAAUUUGUGUUCCACAUUUAUUGAACGAUUGAUUUGGACAAACAUGUUAUAUAUUUCUGUAUGCCGUACGGACAUGGAGACUCAAACGUUGAAAACUUCAUGACAACUGCUGACAACUAUUUUUAAUUUAGUUUACAUAUACAUCAAACUUUUUUACGAAUUGGCCUCAAUGGCCGAGUAGUUUCAACUUCAACCGUUUAAGGAUAUCAAGGUUGCAGUUUUGAAUAGAGUUUUCAUUAUUGACGACACUAUGGACGCUGCCCCCUAUAUGCAUUAUUGCCUACUGUGUUUGUGUGUACUAUUAUAUACUUUCAGAGUCUUUCAUCCGCAUUCUAUGUACUGUGAAUUUAAGUGUUAUACAAAUAUUUUUACACAUUGUCUUCCGUUCCUUAAAUUAACGGCCUUUCGGAAAGUGCGAAUAUUUUCCGAUGAACGCAACAUCUACAUAUCUGUGCAGAUUGCGAAUCAUCGCGUAUAUCCUGUUAUUGAUUGUAUUGUGUCAGCAAGUCACGACAAACUUAAAUCAAAAUGUUGUAAAUAAUUGUUAAUUUAUAAUCUGUUAAAUUUAUUGUUGUCCUUAGCGUUUCAAUUUUAAGUUAAAAAGUGAUUUUAUUUUGGUACUAUAUUUUGUCCAUAGCAAUAAAAUGUGUAAACCGC